AGCAGCAGCCACGGUAAUACGGAGGGGGCUAGCGUUGUUCGGAAUUACUGGGCGUAAAGCGCACGUAGGCGGCUUGGUAAGUUAGAGGUGAAAGCCUGGAGCUCAACUCCAGAAUUGCCUUUAAGACUGCCGAGCUAGCAGGUGAGAGAGGUAAGUGGAAUUCCGAGUGUAGAGGUGAAAUUCGUAGAUAUUCGCAGGAACACCAGUGGCGAAGGCGGCUAACUGGUCCAUAACUGACGCUGAGGUGCGAAAGCGUGGGGAGCAAACAGGAUUAGAGACCCCCGUAGUCCCUGUCUCUUAUAC
rnacentral:rRNA from 1 species